UGAGGAAUAUUGGUCAAUGGACGCAAGUCUGAACCAGCCAUGCCGCGUGCAGGAUGACGGUCCUAUGGAUUGUAAACUGCUUUUAUACAGGAAGAAACACUCCCUCGUGAGGGAGCUUGACGGUACUGUAGGAAUAAGGAUCGGCUAACUCCGUGCCAGCAGCCGCGGUAAUACGGAGGAUCCAAGCGUUAUCCGGAAUCAUUGGGUUUAAAGGGUCCGUAGGCGGUUUAAUAAGUCAGUGGUGAAAGCCUAUCGCUUAACGAUAGAACGGCCAUUGAUACUGUUAGACUUGAAUUAGUGGGAAGUAACUAGAAUAUGUAGUGUAGCGGUGAAAUGCUUAGAUAUUACAUGGAAUACCAAUUGCGAAGGCAGGUUACUAUCACUAUAUUGACGCUGAUGGACGAAAGCGUGGGGAGCGAACAGG
rnacentral:rRNA from 1 species